rnacentral:lncRNA from 1 species
AAGGGUUUGUCAUUUUCAUAAGCAUAUUCAUAUUCAAUAAAUCAAUGGACUUUUUGCAUUCAAAUAUUGCGCUCUUUAUCUUUCCUGUCUUUUUUCAAACAAGCUAUGUUUCUUGCACACACUCACGUAACAAAUCGCGUAUCCAUAUUCACUCUGGAUCCUGUUGAUAAUAGUUUUGCUACUGUUCAUUAUGACUUUGAAAAUCCGAUCUACC